rnacentral:rRNA from 1 species
AAUCAACGCUGGCGGCGUGCCUCAGACAUGCAAGUCGAACGAUUAAAGCUCUCUUCGGAGAGUGCAUAGAGUGGCGCACGGGUGAGUAACACGUAAGUAAUCUGCCUUUGAGUGGGGAAUAACAGUCGGAAACGAUUGCUAAUACCGCAUAACGCAGCGGCACCGCAAGGUGACAGUUGUUAAAGGAGCAAUCCGCUUAAAGAGGAGCUUGCGGCAGAUUAGCUUGUUGGUAAGGUAACGGCUUACCAAGGCUACGAUCUGUAUCCGGUCUAAGAGGACGGUCGGACACACUGACACUGAAUAACGGGUCAGACUCCUACGGGAGGCAGCAGUCGGGAAUUUUGGGCAAUGGGGGAAACCCUGACCCAGCAACGCCGCGUGAAGGAUGAAGUAUUUCGGUAUGUAAACUUCG